CAGUAGCCGCGGUAAUACGUAGGGCGCAAGCGUUAUCCGGAAUUAUUGGGCGUAAAGAGCUCGUAGGCGGUUUGUCGCGUCUGCCGUGAAAGUCCGGGGCUCAACCCCGGAUCUGCGGUGGGUACGGGCAGACUAGAGUGAUGUAGGGGAGACUGGAAUUCCUGGUGUAGCGGUGAAAUGCGCAGAUAUCAGGAGGAACACCGAUGGCGAAGGCAGGUCUCUGGGCAUUAACUGACGCUGAGGAGCGAAAGCAUGGGGAGCGAACAGGAUUAGAUACCCCCGUAGUCCCUGUCUCUUAUAC
rnacentral:rRNA from 1 species